rnacentral:rRNA from 1 species
UGCCAGCAGCCGCGGUAAUACGGAGGGUGCUAGCGUUGUUCGGAAUUACUGGGCGUAAAGCGUGCGUAGGCGGCCCAUUAAGUCAGGCGUGAAAGCCCCGAGCUCAACUUGGGAACUGCGUUUGAUACUGGUGGGCUAGAGAUCUAGAGAGGUAAGUGGAAUUCCUAGUGUAGAGGUGAAAUUCGUAGAUAUUAGGAGGAACACCAGAGGCGAAGGCGGCUUACUGGCUAGAUACUGACGCUGAGGUACGAAAGCGUGGGGAGCAAACAGGAUUAGAUA